UACGGAGGAUGCAAGCGUUAUCCGGAAUGAUUGGGCGUAAAGCGUCCGCAGGUGGCAGUUCAAGUCUGCUGUUAAAGGUCGGGGCUCAACCCCGAAAUGGCGGUGGAAACUGAACAGCUAGAGUGCGGUGGGGGCAGAGGGAAUUCCUGGUGUAGCGGUGAAAUGCGUAGAGAUCAGGAAGAACACCGGUGGCGAAAGCGCUCUGCUAGGCCGCAACUGACACUCAUGGACGAAAGCUAGGGGAGCGAAUGGG
rnacentral:rRNA from 1 species